rnacentral:misc_RNA from 1 species
CUGCCCUCAAGCACGGCUUGUGUGUUGGGCCCCCGUCCCGGCGAAGCAUCAGCCCCGGGACGGGCCCGAAAGGCAGCGGCGGCACCGUGUCCGGUCCUCGAGCGUAUGGGGCUCUGUCACCCGCUCGUGUAGGUCCGGCCGGCGGCCAGCCCGACCCUUUAACCAAUCUUUUAACCA